AAGUCUUUCGCAGUUUAUCAUCAAAAGGAUUUCAACGUAAUGCCAGGACAUAUACUAUAAUGAUUAGUGGAUUUUGUAACGCGGGGCUAAGAAGUGAAGCAGAAAACUUGCUUAGGGAAAUGAAAGAGAAGGGUUGUUCUCCAAAUGGUUGCACGUACAACAUAAUUAUCCGCGGGUUUAUCAAUAGCAAUGAGACAUCAAGGGCGAUGAGACUGAUUAAAGAAACGGUGGAAAGAGGUUUUUCUGCAGAUGCAUGGACUACAGAAUUGAUAGUUGAAACAGAUCCCGUUUUGUUGGCUUUGAUAGAAAGAGCAGUGUGAAGUUCAUUUGUAUUUUUGAUAGAUGAAACGGAUCCUUAUGACCAGCACAAUGCAGUUUGAAACUGUUGCACUUUUGACAACUUUCGGUUGUUCCUUCAAUGCUGCAUUGGAGCAAGUUCUUCCACAGACGAGUCCAGUUCAGGAUAUGAAUCUGAUGGAGAAGCAAUGGAGGAAAUGAUAGCCACAUCUGAUCAAAAGAUGUAUCCAAAUUCCUUCACGAAAGGAAGCGUUUGUAAUCGACCAAGUGAUGUCAAACGCGAUUAAAAGGAGAUUACACGAUUUCCAUGUUUGCUUAUACAUUUUUGUAUGUUAUGUGCACCAAAUAUUGAAAGAGGAGAAGGUGUGGACAGUAGCCACAACUCAUUUGGUCUCUCAGGCAUCAACUAUCUUCAGCAUUCUUGAAAAUAAGAGAAAUCUGAGGCUUCAUUUCAACUGCAAACUGUGGUAUCUGUUGUUCAAUCCCUACUAGCCCAGCCAAACACAGUGGAAAUAAAUUGAGUUCACCUUCUAAGCGCUGCACGGGAUUUGCAGAAAACUUUUUGUACCCCCUCUUUUGCCCUCAAGACCAAGUUUUCUUUAACCCCAACUAUCCACAGCGUCCGUUGACACUGCUCGAGUACCAUAUUGUGCCAUUCAAGAUGGACAAAGAUGCCAUGGAGGCGUAUUUGCUUCACGGUUCCAAGGUUGACACUCUUCUGCCCGACCAUCCUGUCGUUGUUACUUCCCUGCCUGCCGGCACUAGAGGAUGCACUUCUCUUAACCAAGUCAAAGUCACUAAGUGGGAUGUCUACAACAACGGACGACUGAUUGUACAUGGGUUAAAGGACUUCUUCGAUCCAAUUGUCCAAACCCUAAGGUAUCUGUAAUAUGACGUGAUGAAUGUGGAAGAGGAUUCUUAUCAAGGAUUUUCUGCGUGGCCAGAUGCAGUUGGGAUUAUUAGUUGGUUUCUCUUUCGAGCACUGCUGGCUGGUUUCACCUCUUCUUCAUUUAUUUCUUGUAAUAAGCCAUAUGAUGAUGGAGAAUAUGAAUCUCUGCCACUUAGUACUAUGGUCUAGAGACACUUAUCUUUUAUUUGUAUGUCAAGAGUUUUAGGUUCAAACAUCGUGAAUGACAAGUUUGAUGCCAA